rnacentral:pre_miRNA from 1 species
AGUGAAAUUGCUGGGACAUAUGGUAAAUAUGUAUUUAAUGUUAUUUUUUUUAAACUACAGAACUGUUUUCCAAACUGUACCAUUUUGCAUUCCUAUAAGCAAU